AAGGGCACCACAAGAGCGUGGAGCAUGUGGCUUAAUUUGACUCAACGCGGGGAAUCUUACCGGGUCCGGACACACUGAGGAUUGACAGACAGUUGUACUUUCCCUCCCUUCGGGGUGGGAUUACAAUAGAUAACAGAUCUUUCAUGAUCAUGUGAUGGGUGGUGCAUGGCCGUUCUUAGUUCGUGGAGUGAUCUGUCUGCUUAAUUGCGUUUCAAAUUUUAUAUUUGUUAACAUGCGAGUCUUCAAUGACGGCCACUCCACCUUAUAGACAUUAUAUGAUAUGCACAUUUGUGUAUUUGAUUAUAACUUGUCUGGAGUCUGGCUCGAUUUUUUUGACUCAAUUGAACGCAACGGACGUGAUUGCAAGUCCUUGUUGAACAAAUUAUAUAUAUACUACUUCAUCAUUAGUAUAUAUAGUUCGCUUCUCAUGUCGUAGCAGUCAAACGGGCGGGCGUCUUAAUUGGCGCGGUCACGAGGCUUAAUAUGCUGCGGCUGGGAAAACUUGGGCGACCGCUGUAAUACUUCUCUCUUAAACCAGAGGAAGAUUGCGGCAAUAACAGGUCUGUGAUGCCCUCAGAUGUCCCGGGCCGCACACGUGCUACAUUGAUUAGCGCAGUGCGCAUACUUACAUAUAGAUCAUUGAUUGGUUAUUUAUAACCGUCAAUAUCGCCUUGUCUGAAAGGACUAGGUAAUCUAUUGUAAGUGCUGGUUCCUCCUCCCGUUGAGCAUUUUAAUAAUGGUCUCUCUACAUCCCUAGCACAUGAUGUCUAGUGCGAUUGUAGUUGAGUUCUGCCAUUUAUGCAAGUGUCAAUUCUCAGUGGGGACAGCCAUUUGAUAAUUCUUUGGCUCGGCCUCAACUAGGAAUGCCUUGUACGGGUCUUGGUUCAACAGACCACCCGGAAUACGUCCCUGCCCUUUGUACACACCGCCCGUCGCUCUUACGCGAAUGAAUUGUACUGUGAGUUUGCAGGACCGAACCCAUUUUAAGGUUUGGAAAUGCAGUCAAACAGUCGAUUAAAGGAAAGAGAAGUCGUAACAAGGCAUCAGUAGGUGAACCU
rnacentral:rRNA from 1 species